GCGCCUCCACGGCCUCAGUGUAACCGCGGGCGGCGGCCCGGCCGGUGACCGGUGACCCCGGGACAGCUGCAGGCGCCGAGCGGGAGUCACGGACCUGGACAUAAUUAGUCAUUGCCCAGAAAGCGGAUUAAAGGCUUCGGGUUACGCGGUGAUGGGUGGAGAGCAGAGCAACAAUCUCAGAGGAACAACCCCGAGAGAGGGGAUUCCAGUAAAGGAAAAGGAGGCAGCAGUUCCAUCCAACCCAUCAGAGCCAGUGGAGGGUGCCACUGUUCCCCAGACACGCAUUGGCAACAAGACAGUUGAUGACAUGUGCUUCAUGAUUGUUUGCACUAACUGGUACUGAGGCAGGGGGAAGAGGAGAGGCAGUGUGGAGCUGCAGAGAAUGCACCGUCAACGAUACAGGGAGAAGACCUGAGAGAUUGUGCUAUUUUCACCACAUCACAUGCAGCUUUUGCAAAUACCUGUAUCUAAUAUUUCUGUUAUUAGUUUGACCAUCUGUUAAUAAAAGGGGAAGACUUAC